CGCUUUAGAAGAGGGGUCACGUCGAGGGCGCCCUUGAUCUGCCACUUCCCGGUGACUUGGAGGUAGGCCUCGUGAAUGGCCUCGACCUCGGCCAUCCUCUUUUCCCUACAGCGAUCAGCUGCCGUCACCUCCGCAAUCGAAGACCCCUCAGCCUGACGCGAUGACUUCGUCCUCAGCUUCGAGGGACCACUUUUCUUCUUUUGUUAAGGCGCUCGAGACUCCAGCCGCCUCCUCGUCG
rnacentral:lncRNA from 1 species